CCAAAUAAUUUAACUUGGGAGUCAGAACAUGGGUGAUAAGGUCCGUGUUCGAAAGGGAAACAGCCCAGACCACCAGCUAAGGUCCCAAAAUAUAUGUUAAGUGGAAAAGGAUGUGGCGUUGCCCAGACAACUAGGAUGUUGGCUUAGAAGCAGCCAUCAUUUAAAGAGUGCGUAAUAGCUCACUAGUCGAGUGACACUGCGCCGAAAAUGUACCGGGGCUAAACAUAUUACCGAAGCUGUGGAUUGUCCUUUAGGACAAUGGUAGGAGAGCGUUCUAAGGGCGUUGAAGCAUGAUCGCAAGGACAUGUGGAGCGCUUAGAAGUGAGAAUGCCGGUGUGAGUAGCGAAAGACGGGUGAGAAUCCCGUCCACCGAUUGACUAAGGUUUCCAGAGGAAGGCUCGUCCGCUCUGGGUUAGUCGGGUCCUAAGCUGAGGCCGACAGGCGUAGGCGAUGGAUAACAGGUUGAUAUUCCUGUACCACCAUGAUUCGUUUUAAGCGAUGGGGGGACGCAGUAGGAUAGGCGAAGCGUGCUGUUGGAGUGCACGUCUAAGCAGUAAGACUGAGUGUUAGGCAAAUCCGGCACUCAUUAAGGUCAAGCUGUGAUGGGGAGAAGAAACAUGUUUUCUUCGAGUCGUUGAUUUCACACUGCCAAGAAAAGCCUCUAGCUAGAAGAUUGGUGCCCGUACCGCAAACCGACACAGGUAGUCAAGAUGAGAAUUCUAAGGUGAGCGAGCGAACUCUCGUUAAGGAACUCGGCAAAAUGACCCCGUAACUUCGGGAGAAGGGGUGCUCUUUGAGGUUCACGCUUCGAAGAGCCGCAGUGAAUAGGCCAAAGCGACUGUUUAUCAAAAACACAGGUCUCUGCUAAACCGUAAGGUGACGUAUAGGGGCUGACGCCUGCCCGGUGCUGGAAGGUUAAGAGGAGUGGUUAGCAUUAGCGAAGCUACGAAUCGAAGCCCCAGUAAACGGCGGCCGUAACUAUAACGGUCCUAAGGUAGCGAAAUUCCUUGUCGGGUAAGUUCCGAC
rnacentral:rRNA from 1 species